CAAUAACAGGUCUGUGAUGCCCUUAGAUGUUCUGGGCCGCAUGCGCGCUACACUGAUGCGAUCAACGAGCCUAGCCUUGGCCGAGAGGUCCGGGUAUCUUGCAAACCGCAUCGUGAUGGGGAUAGAUUAUUGCAAUUAUUAAUCUUCAACGAGGAAUGCCUAGUAAGCGCAAGUCAUCAGCUCGCGUUGAUUACGUCCCUGCCCUUUGUACACACCGCCCGUCGCUCCUACCGAUUGAUUGGGUGUGCUGGUGAAGCGUUCGGAUUGGUGGCUCCAAGCGGUUCGCCGCCGGGGACAACCGAGAAGUUCGGUAAACCCUCCCACCUAGAGGAAGGAGAAGUCGUAACAAGGCUUCCGUAGGUGAACCUGCGGAAGGAUC
rnacentral:rRNA from 1 species